rnacentral:rRNA from 1 species
GACGAACGCUGGCGGCGUGCUUAACACAUGCAAGUCGAACGGUGAAGCGCCUUCCUUUUUGGUGGGUGUGGAUGAGUGGCGAACGGGUGAGUAACACGUGAGUAACCUGCCCCCUUCUUCUGGAUAACCGCAUGAAAGUGUGGCUAAUACGGGAUAUUCUGGGUCUGUCGCAUGAUGGGUCUGGGAAAGAUAUUGUUUCGGUGGGGGAUGGGCUCGCGGCCUAUCAGCUUGUUGGUGGGGUGAUGGCCUACCAAGGCGGUGACGGGUAGCCGGCCUGAGAGGGUGGACGGUCACACUGGGACUGAGACACGGAGCAGACUCCUACGGGAGGCAGCAGGGGGGAAUAUUGCACAAUGGGCGCAAGCCUGAUGCAGCGACGCCGCGUGAGGGAUGGAGGCCUUCGGGUUGUGAACCUCUUUCGCCAGUGAAGCAGGCCUGCCUCGUUUGUGGGUGGGUUGACGGUAGCUGGAUAAGAAGCGCCGGCUAACUACGUG